GAUGAACGCUGGCGGCGUGCCUAAUACAUGCAAGUCGAACGAACGGACGCGGCGCUUGUUUGUCUGUCGUUAGGCGAGCACGGGUGAAUCACGCGUGUAUCCCGUCCUUAUCAUUGUGAUAUAACUUCGAGACAGCGGAGCUUAUCCGAUAGAAUAUUCUGAACCGCAUGGGUGAUAAGUGAAUGGCGGUCUUUGGGUCUCUUAUAGAUGAUUCUGGGCUUCAUGAGCUGGUUGGUAAGGUAAAGGCUUAUGAAGGGAACGAUGCCUAGGCGAGCUGAGAGGGUGAUCGGCCACACUGGAACGUGGACACGGUCCAGACGCCUACGGGAGGCAGCAGUAGGGAAUGUUAGGCAAUGGGGGAAAGCCUGACGGAGCAACGCCGCGUGAGUGACGAAGGUAUUCGGUGCGUAAAACUCUGUUAUGGGGGAAGAACAGAUGUCGAAGGAAAUGAGGACAGCGUGACGGUACUGAAUAAGAAAGCCACGGCUAACUACGUG
rnacentral:rRNA from 1 species